UACGUAGGGGGCUAGCGUUGUUCGGAAUUACUGGGCGUAAAGGGCGCGUAGGCGGCUUUAUAAGUCGGGGGUGAAAGCCUGUGGCUCAACCACAGAAUUGCCUUCGAUACUGUAUGGCUUGAGACCGGAAGAGGUUAGUGGAACUGCGAGUGUAGAGGUGAAAUUCGUAGAUAUUCGCAAGAACACCAGUGGCGAAGGCGGCUAACUGGUCCGGAUCUGACGCUGAGGCGCGAAAGCGUGGGGAGCAAACAGG
rnacentral:rRNA from 1 species